rnacentral:lncRNA from 1 species
UACUCACCAACCAAAAAGUGGGUCCCACCCAUUAAUUUAAUAAAAAUCAUUUUAUUUUCCGAAACUUCAACAAUUCGUAGAAAAUAGCUCGGUUAUCAGAAAAAUUCAAAACUCGCGACUUUCCAUGGGAAAUUCCAUUCUCUACAACUUUGCAGAAGAAAGUUUUUCCAAAUUCCAAACAGAAAUUGACCGAAAUCCAUAAACGGACGAUUUUACAGUCUAUAAUCAAUUUUCGGUCAAGAAUUGUG